UAGGAGAUAGUAUAAUUAGGUAUUUUUUAUUUACAAUAAAAAGGUUUUAUUUCUAA
rnacentral:tRNA from 1 species